rnacentral:pre_miRNA from 1 species
GUACAGGGAAGUUACAGGCAGCUCUCCUUUGGCAGGAGGGAGGAUGAUUCAUGAUACAUAUAGUAGUGAAUUUAUGUUGUUACAUAUAGUAGUGAAUUGGUCCAGUAAUUAGACUGCCAUUCCUGCCUGCCAAAGGAGAAUUGCCCUGCGACUGCACUGUAU